GCUAUCUGCAGUCGAGGGGCAGCACAGGUAGCAAUACUGGGUGGCGACCGGCAAACGGGUGCGGAACACGUACGCAACCUUCCUUCAAGAGAUGGAUAGCCCGAAGAAAUUCGGAUUAAUACAUCGUAAAACCACAGGGUGGCAUCACUUAAUGAUUAAAGAAUUUCGCUUGAAGAUGGGCGUGCGCCUGAUUAGGUAGUUGGUGAGGUAACGGCUCACCAAGCCGACGAUCAGUAACUGGCGUGAGAGCGCGACCAGUCACACGGGCACUGAGACACGGGCCCGACUCCUACGGGAGGCAGCAGUAAGGAAUAUUGGUCAAUGGACGCAAGUCUGAACCAGCCAUGCCGCGUGAAGGAUGAAGGUCCUCUGGAUUGUAAACUUCUUUUAUCUGGGACGAAAUCACUUUUUUCUAAGAGUGUUGACGGUACCAGAGGAAUAAGCACCGGCUAACUCCGUGCCAGCAGCCGCGGUAAUACGGAGGGUGCAAGCGUUAUCCGGAUUCACUGGGUUUAAAGGGUGCGUAGGCGGAUUUGUAAGUCCGUGGUGAAAUCUCCAGGCUUAACCUGGAAACUGCCAUGGAUACUAUAAGUCUUGAAUAUUGUGGAGGUUAGCGGAAUAUGUCAUGUAGCGGUGAAAUGCAUAGAUAUGACAUAGAACACCAAUUGCGAAGGCAGCUGGCUACACAAAUAUUGACGCUGAGGCACGAAAGCGUGGGGAUCAAACAGGAUUAGAUACCCUGGUAGUCCACGCCCUAAACGAUGAUUACUCGACAUUUGCGAUAUACAGUAAGUGUCUGAGCGAAAGCAUUAAGUAAUCCACCUGGGAAAGUACGACCGCAAGGUUGAAAC
rnacentral:rRNA from 1 species